rnacentral:lncRNA from 1 species
AUCGUCGGCCCCUGGCGGGAGCUCCCUAAAUAUGUGUUGGAUGGAUGGAUGGAUGGAUGGAAGAAAGGAUGGAUAGUUCAGAGUACUUCAGCCUUGAUUCCUCCGCAACAGACACCUCAAACUUGACCCUACAUUGGUUCUUGGCCAUCGUGAUCUUCCUUGGACAGAAUCACCUUUCAGCUCCGGUCAUCAGACUUUCCCAGGGCCCUCAGAAAGCCCUUCAGAGUUGUUACUCACAGGCAGGCUGAGGGAUUCCUUGCGGGGUCUGCAGCUCUCCUCACCUCAUCCACAAGUAGGACCGUGGCCUGUGCCUCACUACUUGGAUAAAAAUAAAGUAGAAUAGGCUAGGCACGGUGGCUUACGCCUGUAAUCCUAGCACUUUGGGAGGCCAAGGCGGGCAGAUUGCCUGAGCUCAGGAGUUCGGGACCAGCCUGGGCAACACGGUG